UGGUGCCCCAAUGUGGGACUUGAGAAUGGUGGACUUUGUGAGGGAUGCUAUUUGUGAGCCCAAAGUAGAAAAAGGAAAAGAAAACAGAGGACCUCGCAAUGUGGGAGUCUGCCAUGUUGCUGAACCUCAGUAAGUGAACAGCGAUUAUGGGACAAGAAGUUAGCCAGCAUGAGAUUUUUGUUAAAAGUUUAGGAAGGUUUUAAAGACAUGAAAAGUAAAGGAAAACAUUAAGCAAUUGUCCCAUUAGGGCUUAAUAAACUUUUAUCUCCGGA
rfam:Cavia porcellus supercont2_26 genomic scaffold, whole genome shotgun sequence.